rnacentral:lncRNA from 1 species
GUGCUGUUAGCUUUGUUAUAAUUUUUCACUAUAUGAUUUUGCCAUUAUAUUUAUUAAAUAGCCUAUUGAGAAUUUCCUUGCAUUUUCUGGGUGGUUAUACCUCUAAAAUAAGAUGUGGCAUUACUGGAUGCAGAGUUUGUGGUAAAGCUAACAAUGUGAAUAAAGCCAUCAUAGAAUGUUGGAAGCAGUGGGAUCUGCAAUUCUCUUUGGGUUUACAACUUGAUAUAUUUGACCCAUGUGAAGAACAUCUUUCAUUGAUGUCAUAUCAUUUGUGAAUUUUCUACUCCACUCGUAUACUUGCUACUGUGACAAACAUUCUCUUACUAAUAAAUAUCGGAUCAGUAACAGGUAAUAAGUUUAUAAG